UCAAUAGAGAUGCACUAUGAGACAGGCCU
rnacentral:piRNA from 1 species